rnacentral:rRNA from 1 species
UACGUAGGGGGCUAGCGUUGUCCGGAUUUAUUGGGCGUAAAGAGCGUGUAGGCGGCCAGGCAGGUCUGCUGUGAAAACUCGAGGCUCAACCUCGAGACGUCGGCGGAAACCAUCUGGCUAGAGUCCGGAAGAGGAGAGUGGAAUUCCUGGUGUAGCGGUGAAAUGCGCAGAUAUCAGGAAGAAGACCAGCGGCGAAGGCGGCGCUCUGGGACGGUACUGACGCUGAGGAGCGAAGGCGUGGGUAGCAAACAGG